rnacentral:rRNA from 1 species
UUAGCCCUAAACAUAGAUAAUUAUGUAAACAAAAUUAUUCGCCAGAGUACUACUAGCAACAGCUUAAAACUCAAAGGACUUGGCGGUGCUUCAUAUCCUUCUAGAGGAGCCUGUUCUGUAAUCGAUAAACCCCGAUAAACCUCACCAAUUCUUGCUAAUACAGUCUAUAUACCGCCAUCUUCAGCAAACCCUAUAAAGGAACAAAAGUAAGCACAAUCAUAAUACAUAAAAAAGUUAGGUCAAGGUGUAACCUAUGAAAUGGGAAGAAAUGGGCUACAUUUUCUCAAACUAAGAAAAUCAACACACGAAAACCAUUAUGAAACUAAUAGUUAAAGGAGGAUUUAGCAGUAAACUGAGAAUAGAGUGCUUAGUUGAACUAGGCCAUGAAGCACGC